AUGAAUAUUAGGGUACUCUUUUAACAAGAGGCCUGACCUUCAUCCUUCUACACUGUGCACUAUUAUUCAAUUCGGUCAGUUGGUAGUUUGGCCGUCUCCGGCCUUACGACGCUGCCGAGUUUCAUUUUUAAACUCUACAAGUCUAAGAAUGUAACAAACCUAAAACUAAAA
rnacentral:misc_RNA from 1 species